CAUGGGGGCUUCACAGCGAUCCUCCCACGUGAGCCGUUGGAUCUUCCUUGCAACGAAUCUCAGCCGUUGAAUCCUGACUCAGAAUCUACUAGCUAACCCCAUGCAAUGGCCAAUUGUUACCCACAUCCGGCUGCAUGUGGGCCCCACCUUUGCCGGUCCCGCACGUCAGUGACUGCGACUGGGAUCUCUAUCAGUGUGCAUAAGCGUAGGGCUGUGAAUCUCCACCCCGCAGGGGUAUUUUUGGUAUUUCAGCGGUGUGAGUAUAAAAUGCAUCAUCCCACGGAGGGAACCCUAGCCCACUUUCCCCCAAUCCCGUGCACAUCUCAUCCUCACCAAUGGCGGCUGCCCCUUCCUCUCCCGCUCGACCCCUACUCUCUCCACGCACGCCUCAGCCCCUUCGUCUCGUUCCACAACCCUGCCGCCCCUCGUGCGCCUCAGCCCCGCCGUCACCGUCGCCUCGCGCCCCCAGCCCCGCCGCUAGCUCGCGUGCGUUCGCCAGCCCGACCUCGGGCAGGGGCCGCCGACGCGGGCAAGGGGCCGCGCGACCGGUCCCCGCAUGGAUGGCGUGGGAGGGCAGCGCGGGCGACCUCCACAGGCGUCGAGCGCGCGGGAGGAGGGCCGCCGGUGAGGCGCGGCGCGAGCGCGCGGGAAGCGGCGCCGCCGGUAGAGGUCUGCAGGCUCCUCUCCAUCCCCGAGCUCAAGAGGACAAGCACAACGGAGGUGGAUGCCGUUACCAGGUUCAUCUUCCUGCUGGGAACCUUCACCUCCUCAUUGCAAUUGAAGCCCAUCCCACUGGUCUGGCACCCUAAUUUCUCAUUUUCCCUUCUCCCUCAAAUCCAGCAGCAAGGGACCAGUUCAUGUCAGCAUGAUUUGACGUUUCUCAUCAACCCGUUUCUAUUGCUGGAGUGGAUCAACAACAGUGACAGUUUUGAACACUGACAGCAAUCAUAAGUUGGUAGAUCAAGAAGUGCAUGGCCAUGUUGCAGUGUAUACAGCUCAAUCCCGAGGAGAAAGAGCUGCAUCAAAGCACAACGCCAGCCCAUGGAAGACAGAGUGGCAGCAAUGCAGAGAUCCAUCUUUUGUCAGGCCAAAUACAUAGAAAUACUGACAGCAGGUUGAACCUCCAGUAACUGUUCCUCAAGACGCCAUCGUGAAACCUGCUGGAGCUCACACUAUAUCAACUAUACAAUGCCCUCCUCAAUAUUCAUGUGAUCUGAUACAUGUGAUCAUCAUCUCGUGUAGCAACAACAAAGGUCUAUGUAAUUCAUCUAUGCAUCUCCUCAGUAUUUCUUGCAUGGUUCUACCUACAUGACCACUAAAAGCUCAUUCUGUAUUUUUGGUUACUGUAAUUAGCUUACUUCUUAGAUAUUUAAUUUAAAUUUCUUAUCAUCCAUAUAGUGUAUACUAAUUAAUGUUUGCCUUUCAUGUUGGAUACUCAGAAUGGCAUGGGAAGCAUCAAUGUUCCCUCAUGGAAGCCAUACGCAUGCUGCAACCAUGUUUUUUGUAUUCUACCUUGCACUUAUGGUGAAAUUUGCACUAGGAGAGAUGAAUGGUGGCAAGGGAUAGCAGCAGUAGGUCAGCUUGGUCUAGGAUUAAUAGUGUCGGCGGAGAUGUUUUUUGGCUCAAGAAGUCGAUGAAUGUUCCGGCUGGGUUAUCCGCUAUGUACUCUAUGUCUGCUUCCAGCUGGGUUUAGUACGUUUGUUCAAAACAUCCACCGUAUCCAGCUUUGUGCGACUCCCAUGGCUAAAGAGGAAGAAAUCACUGUUACAAAUCUAUAUUUGGGUACAAUUUGAUUGUGGGAUAUUAUGAAUAUCACACAUUAUCCUUACAUUAACUACUGAUCCUAUAUUGGCCAUUCAACGCUUCACUCCAGAGGCCCCGCAAUUCCCAGUGUUCUUGAGAGAUCCAACAGUGCUGACUUUAUAUUGUGACCCGGACACACUUUAUUGAUAGAGAUAAAAAGAUAUUGGUUUGCUGCAAAGAGUACUUACUUGAACACAGAUGGAAACAAAGGUGCAUGGUCUCAUAAAGAGGGCAUGUUCAUGUGCAAGGUAAGAUCUGAAUUGAUUCGGGCUGAUGAAUAUUCAAAUUAAUUUCACGGUUAUUAGAGAAGUGCCGCAGCUGAGAAGCCAAGAAAGAAAAUAUCAUAUAACCAAAUUUGAAAUUGGAUUAUCAUUCUCUUAGUGCAUCCUAUUUAUCAUGAUAUCAAUUCAUUCAGCAUAAACAUGUUUCGUGAUGUAGAAAAAGCAUCCAAUGUCAAUCAGCUUUGCAGUAUGAAAGUCAUUGUUUCCUGUACAUGAGUUUGGCUUAUUGUGGCUAUAUUUAAUUAACACGUAGUAUUCAACUUGAAUCGUUACUGUUUGCCAAAAUUGUCCUUUUUCUGGUAAAAUCAUGGGUAUCCCGUCAAGAUCACUACUAAACUAAAUAGUCUCUUUGGUUUCUAGACUUAAACUAGAAUAAUCUAUAGGUCAUAAAACUUACAUUAUCUGAGGUACUAAUUUUUCCACUUAAUCAAUUGCAGAACCGUAAACGAGGUUUGGUUUGAAUACUGACAGAUGUCUCGAGCAAUUCUUAUGCUACGGAUUAUGAUGUUAAUUCUCUAAUUGCAUUGUGCAUGUAAUAUAUACCCUUAUUUAGUCAUCUAUAUUAAUCCCCACUUUUAUCCUUUUCUUCAAUUCCUAUAUAUAGUGUAGAUAUGCAUGAAUAUUUGAUAAUCUUCGUGCUCCUUGUUGUGCAGAGAGCCUAGCUGCAUUUGUCGCAUCGGUCCAUUUCCUUCCCGGCCUCGCCUCUCUUUCUCUUCUACCUAGAAUCCUCACAGUACAUUGAAUUUCUGAUUUAUAUAUCUGUCAUUGUGUAUAUGUCUCCACUGGAUCCAAUCGAUUUUGUUAGUUGUUGGUUCUGUCAUGUCGGUGCAAAUGAAGGUGGUGAAAUUGAGCUGGUCUUAUUUGAUAGGAUGGGCAAGGGGAUUAUUUUUUGGCCAGUAUAGUUGUGUUUUUGGCCAGCAAUUUCGUGCAUUAGUCCCAAUAGUUAUAUUGUAGCUCCUGUUUACAUCCAAAUUGUGCUCUUUGUUUGAUAGGAAACCUACAAAGUUUAGACUUAUCAUCAGAAUCCAAUAGUUUCUAUAUGAGAAUGUUGUUGUGAAGCUAGAAUGGUAUGCUCUGGCCCUUUUCAUUAAUAUCGACUUUGUUUUAGCUUAUCUUUAAGAAAAUGCAGCAUGUCCAGUUGACAUAAUAAGCCCAUACUCUAAGCUUGAGAAAUGUGGUAAUACCCAUGUCUUCAUGGGGUUGGUUGCAAGAUGCCAUAUAUGACACUCAGUUCUAUAUUUUUCAGAAUAGGACUUAUAAAAAAUGAGUGCCCCAAAGUUUAUAUUAUCGAUAUGGCUAUUUCUCCUAAAUGACAAAAGGCUGAAAUAAUUUGUAUAUAAAUUCUUCUGGUCUAGGUUAGUUUUUGGAUCCCUGAAAAUGAUCUUCAUGUCCUGCUAGGCUGCUACCAUGUAAAAAGUAAUAUGCUAUGUCUUGCCCAUUAACCAUACUUAUGGGUCUUCAUUAUCAACCACUAAGAAACUGAUGCACAAAUUAGUUGAGCAUGUAUGCUAAGGAUUUUCUCUUCCUUUUUCAUAGAUGUUAAAAGGUAGAGGUUAGCCUUUCAUGAUUCACAGAUUACAUGAUUAGACCUAAAUUUAAUUAAUUAUAAUCAUCCUGGUCUUAAAAUACCAUUAGUAUGUGUAAGGUAAGAAAAAAUAGUGCCAGCUUCUCAAUAUUUAUACUAAAGAUGCUAUUUCCCAAAAAUCUUUUUGUACCAAUGAGGCGAAAUCUCCGGUCUGAAUUCGCUCCUCAUUUCAUUUUGUUGGGUAGAUAGUGCCGGCUUACAUAUGAAAAAUGAUGUUAUUUAUGUACCGAGAGUUCGUUUGUACUACACACGAUCGCUCAAGCUUGCAAUGCCGGCAAAAAGACCAUGACCAGAUCAUUCUCCAAGGGGGCAUUGAUAAUCGAUGCCUGAUAUGGUAGCAAGGCUACAUCUGAACUCGGUGCUUCCUAACAAAUAUCUGAAAGUUAGUAAAAUGUUCACUGUACUUUUCUUUGGUUGUCACUCCUUGCUGAUGCAUACUGGUAUCCGUUAUAAUUUCUAGCUGAUUGUUCUUUUGGAUUGAUUUUGCAGUGUCCAUGGUUAAUUCAUCUCUAACUGUUUGUUUUUUUUAAUUAAUUGUUGCAGUAUCUAUGGCCAUUUAUAUUAAUUCUUAUUUGUAUUUGAUGAUGUUAGUGAUGCCAACAAUUUGUUGAAGCCUAUGACUCUCAAACCCCCAUAAGUGACCUUCAACCUAUCUACGCAGCAAUAGCACGAGGAUGUCCUUGCUACUAUAAUAGCGCAUCCACUACCUGAUGAUGACGAUGCUCUGAUCGAGUAGAGAGAGGAUCAUGAGUUGAUUGCGCUUUGUACACGAGUUUUCUACUGUUAGGUGAAAGGCUUGAUAUUUAGGCCGGAAUGUUUUCCUUGGAUCAAGAACUAUUGUAUGACAUCGAUCUACAUCUUUUCCAUGGAUUUCUUGGCCACAUUGAUAUGUUACUUACUGGUUCAUUAUUAUUAUUAUUAUUAUUAUUAUUA